rnacentral:ribozyme from 1 species
AGAAAUACUAUACCAGUAAAAAAUGGAUCCGAAGCCUCUUGAAGGUGAACGCAGACUCUAUUUCAAGGCCUACAAUUCAUCCUCAUCGUACAGAGCGGUAAUAUGUCUUCUAAUUCCAUGGGUACACGGCGCAUCCAACCCUUUGGUAGUCUCUCUAUAGUAUUGUAAAUCAGUAAUUA